UACGAAGGGGGCUAGCGUUGUUCGGAUUUACUGGGCGUAAAGCGCACGUAGGCGGAUCGUUAAGUCGGGGGUGAAAUCCUGGAGCUCAACUCCAGAACUGCCUUCGAUACUGGCGAUCUUGAGUCCAGAAGAGGUGAGUGGAACUCCUAGUGUAGAGGUGGAAUUCGUAGAUAUUAGGAAGAACACCAGUGGCGAAGGCGGCUCACUGGUCCGGUACUGACGCCGAGGUGCGAAAGCGUGGGGAGCAAACAGG
rnacentral:rRNA from 1 species